CAGGGGAUCCAGUUCCGGUUGUGCCUCAUCUCAAUACCCAGAUGGCACCCGUAUUGCUUCCUCUGAG
rnacentral:pre_miRNA from 1 species